GACAAAGACCAAAUGGAGAAUUGAGAUUCUGCACUCCUCUUGUGAACCAUUGCGGAAGGCAAGGGUACUACAAAAAGAGAAUCGUUUACCUCGGAGCCAAUUUUUCAAGACCAUUCCUUGUAGUAAUUUUAUGUCAAUAUGAUGGAAGGCCUUGGAUUGUGUAGCUCUUAGAAAGAGUUGUGUCAUUCUUCAAGGAUCACAAAGGUUCGAUAUACUUAAUAAAAUCUUUUUUUUAAUUAUUUGCUAUGCUAUGUAAUUUUUAUAUCUAUUUGUCACGGUUGUUGCCUUUUUAGGGGGCUAUUGGUUUGAGUUAAAUGACAAUCAUCAUGUUAAUAAAAAAAUUCUCUCGGAAUUACUUUGAUAAA